rnacentral:rRNA from 1 species
CGGUGGGUACUAGGUGUGGGGUCCAUUCCACGGGUUCCGUGCCGUAGCUAACGCUUUAAGUACCCCGCCUGGGGAGUACGGCCGCAAGGCUAAAACUCAAAGGAAUUGACGGGGCCCCGCACAAGCGGCGGAGCAUGCGGAUUAAUUCGAUGCAACGCGUAGAACCUUACCUGGGUUUGACAUGGAUCGGGAGUGCUCAGAGAUGGGUGUGCCUCUUUUGGGGUCGGUUCACAGGUGGUGCAUGGCUGUCGUCAGCUCGUGUCGUGAGAUGUUGGGUUAAGUCCCGCAACGAGCGCAACCCUUGUUCACUGUUGCCAGCACGUUAUGGUGGGGACUCAGUGGAGACCGCCGGGGUCAACUCGGAGGAAGGUGGGGAUGACGUCAAGUCAUCAUGCCCCUUAUGUCCAGGGCUUCACGCAUGCUACAAUGGCUGGUACAGAGAGUGGCGAGCCUGUGAGGGUGAGCGAAUCUCGGAAAGCCGGUCUCAGUUCGGAUUGGGGUCUGCAACUCGACCUCAUGAAGUCGGAGUCGCUAGUAAUCGCAGAUCAGCAACGCUGCGGUGAAUACGUUCCCGGGGCUUGUACACACCGCCCGUCAAGUCAUGAAAGUUGGUAACACCCGAAGCCGGUGGCCUAACCGUUGUGGGGGAGCCGUCGAAGGUGGGACUGGUGAUUAGGACUAAGUCGUAACAAGGUAGCCGUACCGGAAGGUGCGGCUG